AAAUUCGCUGAAAUUCUGUAGUUUUAGGGCUUGUAGCCAAUAUAAGAUAAGUCCGUUCCAGACCCAGAUGUACAGACUACACUGAUACUUAUGUUAAGAACUAAACUGAUACCAUGAUUGGGUUGGGGAUAAUUUGGAGUAUGGUACCGUAUGACUGCACUCUUUCUGCUUGGAGAAAAUUAUCAGUCAAUCCAUCAACCAUCAUAGCUGAUAGUUUGGAGACUACACUGAUACUCACGGGCUUGGGCGACAGGCUCCAACACAGCCACUACGAGUUCAGUUUUGGGGCGAAGAGAGGGACAUGUUCGAAGAGAAUCGAUGGCUGUUUACUUUGUUGGUGCUUUGCUCGUCGUAGAGAAUCAUCAUCAUAACUGCAUGCAUGCUUUGGCGAAAGAAAGGGACCCAUCCAGUGUGCAGAGAACACGCAAGGAAUUGUGCCUUCUUUAGUUGAGAGAAGGAAGGACUGAUUCCCAUGCCAAACCGACCGACAAGGCGUGCCUGCUGCUCAACUGAGAGGGCAAACCAUAUCCUGCGUAUCUCUGUUGCAUAUCUCGCCGUUCUACGAGCAGUAGCAGAAGCUGAUCACAACAGGCAAAUAGCCGAAAUCAAUUUUGUUAUUAUCAAGCUGCUCCUGUCUGCUGCAAGGCGGUGGUGACACUACUUCAUCCGAUGGGUUAGACUGACUCAUCAGCCACUGCUUCUCUUUCUUGGUCUUGAUAGUGAAUUUCAUCAUGACUUCUCCUGCUGCAAGGGGUUACCUUAACAGAAAUGUUGAUGGUAGCAGAGAGAACAUAUUCCAAAUUCUUCGGACGAUGGGAGAUAAAAGGGUCAUCUAUUUACAUGGUUGGGAUGGACUGGGGGCGUCUGCUGUCCUUAGAUCCAUAGCAGAAGUGCUCCCAUAUAGGAGAACCACUCCAGAACUAUGCUUUGAUAAGAUAAUUCACAUAGAUUGUUCAGACUGGAAAAAUAGAAGAGGAUUACAGAGGGCAAUCGCAGAGGAACUAGAGCUUGAAAGCUCAAUAAUGGCUGUUCUGGAUAAACAGGAUGAAGAGGAUGAUUUUCAGGGAGUUGAUGAAAGCUCUAGGAAUGAGAUAGGAAGUGUAUCAAGAGCAAUCGAUCAUAUUCUGAAAUACAACAGAUUUGUGUUCAUUUUUCAUAAUGGUGGUGACAAUGAGAUUGUUGACCUAUUCAACUGUGGUGUUCCUUUGGUUACAAGUUUUGGUGACAAUGUGAUUAUAUGGACCUACAAAAGGAGGGUGUUGACCAUUAAAAAAUACGACCAACAUGAACUACUACACAAACUGAGGUACACUCAUCUUUUGGCAUAUGAUAGGAUGGAGCGUCUACUAAGUGGACAGUUGUAUGCACUGCUGCGUAAAGAGGCUGAAAUCAUAGUUCCUGGCAAUCCAUGCACCGAGAGAUUCAGUCCAAUGGUGGUUGUCGAUUGUUGUCUAUACAAACUCUUUCUGCAAUGUGGUUUUUGCAAGACCAAUUCUGGUUGGGAUGGUCUUGCUUCGAGUUAUUGGAUAUGUGAUGGGAUACUGCCAAAAGACAUAACAACGGAGAUAGGUGAUGCAUUGCACCGAGAAAUAAGAUGGGAGUGUGAUGAUAAUGUGCUUAUAGAGUUCAAGAAACAUUUCAAGCUUCCUUUUCUCAUAGUUAAAGAAGAUGAUGUGUAUAAAGAAGGACCAUACCGUUGGAUUUCAAUCACAUCGAGGGAUAGUGAAAUACUGGGUAUCAAAAGUUUACCAGAAGAGACAUCAUCAUUCUUCUUGGAGUUUCAAAUAUCUGAUCAGCCAGCAGCAUUACCAAAUGGUUUGUUUCAACAUUCCAGCAACCUUGCUGUACUGACUCUCUGUUGGUGUGCCUUCAGUUUUGCAUCACCUCCUUUCCUAAACUGCCAUAACCUAAGAUUCCUUGGACUGUGCCACUGUACAGAUGACAAAACAGGGGAAGGAGAGGAUCAUACUGAGUGGGUUUGUCUUCAUAGUUUGUGGGUGUUGGACCUACAUUACACUGAAUGGAAUGAAAUCUUAUGGCCGGAAAAGAUGGAUCUCAUGGAUAACCUCAUGACGCUAAGCAUAGAGGGUGUCUGGUGUUGGCAAUACACAACUCACUUACAAGGUCGGCUACCAAACCUUAAAAGGCUUCGGGUAAUCAAGCCUAGUCGUGGACCGGAUAUUUCAACAGAACCAAGCAGGUCCUUCAUGGACAAGGUAAAGCUGGAAAUACUUGACCUGUCUGGCAACAGUGAAAUGAAAAUUCUACCAAACAGCCUAUCUAAAGCAAGUAGCCUUCAAGUGCUUAUUCUGGAUGGUUGCAAUGAGCUUAAAAAUGUUGCUAUCCCUGAUGGGCUACCUCGCUUGCUGAAGUGCUUCAGCCUUGAUGGAUAUGGGCCAGCUUUCAUUCGUGCGCCUACUGUCGAGCUACCUCUAAAACAAGAACGUCCUUCGAUCCCAGCAACUAAGGAAGGUGCCAGUAUCUCUAAGAUUUCCCUCGAAAGUUGCUCACAAUUGGAGAAUAUGUUCAUACGUGGGUUGCCCAACCUCGUUGAGCUUGACCUCUCUGGAACCGCAAUCAAGACACUUGAUUUCAAUACUAUGGUAUUAGAAGUCCCAAUGCUGAAGCAACUAUUUCUGCUAGGAUGUGAGCACCUUCGGGCAAUAAUUUGGAGCUCUAAAGAUAGCUUCCAUUUGAAUUUGUUGUGCAUAGACACACGAGCUGGAACUGGCCAUCCACGGCCAUGCACUGACCCCAAAAAAUCCUUUCGUUUGGAGGUGCAUGCCACUGUUGUGGAUGCCAGGCUUCUUUGGUCGUUGUGGCAUCCAUUAUAUAGUCAUUAUGCAAUUAUUAAGGAUGUUUAUUUUAAUAUCCAUGCCACCUCAGCUGUGUAUAAUGGAACGAUUGAAUCCGAAGUGGCAUACAAGGAGAAGAAGAUUGACAUGUAUGGAGAUAAAGUCAGCCUAUCGCAGCUUGUUCAAGCAGACCGGUAUAGUGAUGUCCAAAGCAUGGCCGGUGAUGCUCCGAUGCUGGCCUUCCCUAAGCCUCUGACUAACAACUUGGAUCGGCAUAUUGAGAUUGCUGAAGGGAGCCACUCCUUUGAGAGUGGACUAUAUGAUAUGAUGAAUUUUUUUGCCGAAUCCCUGCAUGUCCACGAUGUCUCAACUAGUGCUGGUUUGCCUGGGGUACACUGGGAGUUCCUCAGGCAGUGCCGCAUGGAGAGAUGCCCCAAGUUGGGUGAAGUCUUCUAGAGGGGAUCAGAUCUAUUUAAGGAUCUGGAGACCUUCUGGGUGUCAGAUCUCCUAACAACCCGCUGGAUAUGCAGUAAAGGUUACCGCAGAUUCAAUGAUGGUUCGUUCAGAAAACUGCAACACUUACAGUUGCGCUCUUGCCCCAGGCUCCAAUUCGUGCUCCCUGUGUGGGUCGACUCCUUCCCAAGUUUGGAGACCCUCCACAUCAUCCACUGCGGAGACCUUAGGCACAUAUUCGUGCUAGACGAGAAAUGGUACCCAAGGCUGGCCACCAUCCAAGUUGUAGCAUUCCCAAGGCUGACCACCAUCCACCUGCAUGACCUGCCAGUGCUGCAGCAGAUAUCUGAGUUCAAGAUGGUGGCACCGGAGCUCAAGACCAUCAAGAUCAGAGGAUGCUGGGGCAUGCGCCGGCUGCGGGUGGUGUGUGCCCGUAGCAGAGGCAUGAAGAAGCCAUCCGUUGAGAUCGAGAAAGACGUCUGGGAUGCGCUGGAGUGGGACGGGGAGGUGGCCCCUGGCCACUUCGAGACGCCGCUGCACUCACGCUACUACAAGAAGAAACUACCCAGGGUCUCCGUCCUCAGGUGAUCCUUGCGCUGUGCUGCACUGAUGUGGUUCUUCCAUCCUUAAUGGGAGACCAGAUGGAUGCUCGCUCCUGCAGGUCCUGCUGUCUGCUGCAUGUGGGGUUGGUUUAUUGUGUGCUUCCGGCCCGGGUUGCUUGAAAGAGAUUUGCAGGUGGUGUCAGUCGUCGAUUGAUUGACUCCUACUGCUACUGUGUGUUUUUGUGUCACGUGUGAGCUUGUGGUGGCUCCCAUCUUUGUGGCUUUCAAAUAAGAUGCAGCAUGGUUCUUGGCUGCGGCACCGUCGUGUGUGCGGGAGUAUGGCUUGCGAUUGAGGAUGCCUGCUUGCUGCCUCUUGGCUGCAUGAGUAUGAACCUGGAGUGAUUGACUAAGCAGCAGCCCUGUGUGCCUGCGUGCAUCUACGGGGCUGCCUGGUGUGGUUUGCGAGUGUGUUAAACUGUUAAUCUGAACACACAGGCAGCUGGUUUAGUGCAUUGGCUUGCAUUGGACCACCUAUUAUCCGUGUGCCUGUUAUAUGCGUGUGGAAUAAACAGAUUGUAAUACUAGGAGAACAGAUUUUCAGUUUGUGCUUCUAUUAUGCUUGGUAUCGAUGAA